rnacentral:rRNA from 1 species
AUGCCUAAGUCAGCUUUCUGGACAGCCAUAUUGAAGGUAAGACAUCUACUGAGCUCUGCAUCUUUUUAUCAACUUGUGGAUGGAAGCUCCUCCAUUUGGAGCUCUCCAUGGUUCUCUAAAUGGCAAGAUAUUUAUGACAAUUUGAAUAUUCAACAACCACCUUACUCCUAUCCAGCUGUGGUAAAAGAUCUGUGGUCCAAUAGUCAAAAGGUAUGGAACACCCAACUAGUUAAUAUCUUGUUUGCCCCUGAAACUGCGGCUGUAAUCUUGCAAACCCCUAUAGUUGAUUCUCUAGGCCAUGAUUUGCUUGUAUGGAAGCUAACCCCUGCAGGUGAAUUCUCAACCAAAAGUGCCUACAAGCAUUGUUACAAAAAUCUUGAGCUCCCUAUUAAUCAGAGACCUAAGCCAGUGCCACAACAGGUAAUCUCUCUUCUCAAUCAGGUUUGGGUAGAAAAAAUGAUGUUACCCAGGGUUCAAACUUUUGCUUGGAGACUACUUCGGCGAGCCCUAGCUACUGGGAAAAGAGCAGGUAAGUUUUCCAAACAUAUAAAAUCUGAAUGCUCCAGGUGUGGCAUGGAAGAAGAUGAAAUGCACAUGUUAUUCUUAUGUCACUUCUCCAAAGCGGCUUGGUUUUCACAUCCUUGGUACAUCAGAACUGAAAUGUUAGCUGCCACACAUCAAACUAUACCCGAUAUGAUACAGUUUUUGCUUUCUUCCAAUCACCCUCACAUUUCAACUAUUAAUCUCUAUACUUUUCUCUGGUGUUUAUGGAAAGUGAGAAAUGACUAUUUAUUUAAUCGCAAGAACAUUAAGCCAGAGCAAGUUUUUGUUGUGUACAAUGCUGUUAUGCUGGACACAGACAAUUCACUGAUGAAGGAGUUACAUGUACAUGAUUCAACUUGGAAGGGACAUCACGGUCAGCCAGAACAGCUAAAGCUUUCUACUGUUCUUACUUCUCAGUCUGCAAUAGAUUUUCCAGGUACACAAAUAUACUCAGAUGCAGCUUGGUCGUUGGAGCCAGGACAAAGGCGGGUAUAG